rnacentral:rRNA from 1 species
GAUGAACGCUGGCGGCGUGCCUAAUACAUGCAAGUCGAACGCUGGAGCUCUAGCUUGCUAGAUCGAAGGAGUGGCGAACGGGUGAGUAAUACAUAAGCAACCUACCCACGAAGACUGGGAUAAUCUCUGGAAACGGGGACUAAUACCGGAUAGGUAAUCGGAAGGCAUCUUCUGGUUAUUAAAGGUUAAAAACACUGGUGGAUGGGCUUAUGGCGCAUUAGUUAGUUGGUGAGGUAACGGCCCACCAAGACGAUGAUGCGUAGCCGGCCUGAGAGGGUGAACGGCCACAUUGGGACUGAGACACGGCCCAGACGCCUACGGGAGGCAGCAGUAGGGAAUUUUCGGCAAUGGGGGCAACCCUGACCGAGCAACGCCGCGUGAGUGAAGACGGCCUUCGGGUUGUAAAGCUCUGUUGUAAGGGAAGAACGGUAGAUAGAGAAUAUCUAAGUGACGGUACCUUACCAGAAAGCCACGGCUAACUACGUG